CCUGGCUCAGGAUGAACGCUAGCGGCAGGCUUAAUACAUGCAAGUCGAACGGUAAGGUCCCGCUUGCGGGAUACACGAGUGGCGCACGGGUGAGUAACGCGUAUGCAACUUACCAUAAACUGGGGAAUAGCCCGGAGAAAUUUGGAUUAAUACCCCAUAAUGUCGUGAAAAUGCAUAUUUCUAUGAUUAAAGUUCCGACGGUUUAUGAUGGGCAUGCGUGCCAUUAGUUAGUUGGUAAGGUAACGGCUUACCAAGACAGCGAUGGCUAGGGGGUCUGAGAGGAUGAUCCCCCACACUGGUACUGAGACACGGACCAGACUCCUACGGGAGGCAGCAGUAGGGAAUAUUGGGCAAUGGGCGAAAGCCUGACCCAGCCAUGCCGCGUGCAGGAUGACAGCCUUAUGGGUUGUAAACUGCUUUUAUACGGGAAGAAUCUCUCGAACUUGUUCGGGAUUGACGGUACCGUAAGAAUAAGGAUCGGCUAACUCCGUGCCAGCAGCCGCGGUAAUACGGAGGAUCCAAGCGUUAUCCGGAUUUAUUGGGUUUAAAGGGUGCGUAGGUUGAAUGAAAAGUCAAUGGUGAAAGCCUGCAGCUUAACUGUAGAAUUGCCAUUGAUACUGUCAUUCUUGAGUACAGUUGAAGUGGGUGGAAUGUGUUAUGUAGCGGUGAAAUGCAUAGAUAUGACACAGAACACCGAUCGCGAAAGCAGCUCACUAAACUGUGACUGACACUGAGGCACGAAAGCGUGGGGAGCGAACAGGAUUAGAUACCCUGGUAGUCCACGCAGUAAACGAUGAUUACUCGAUGUUGGCCUUUUAAGGUCAGCGUCUUAACAAAAGUAUUAAGUAAUCCACCUGGGAAGUACGAUCGCAAGAUUGAAACUCAAAGGAAUUGACGGGGGCCCGCACAAGCGGAGGAGCAUGUGGUUUAAUUCGAUGAUACGCGAGGAACCUUACCUAGGCUUAAAUGUUAGACGACCGUCCCUGAAAAGGGAUUUUCCGCAAGGACGUCUUACAAGGUGCUGCAUGGUUGUCGUCAGCUCGUGCCGUGAGGUGUUGGGUUAAGUCCCUUAACGAGCGCAACCCCUAUUCUUAGUUGCCAGCGGAUAAUGCCGGGGACUCUAAGGAAACUGCCUAUGCAAGUAGCGAGGAAGGUGGGGAUGACGUCAAAUCAGCACGGCCCUUACGUCUAGGGCUACACACGUGCUACAAUGGCCACUACAAAGGGCAGCUACCUGGUGACAGGAUGCUAAUCUCUAAAGGUGGUCUCCGUUCGGAUCGAAGUCUGCAACUCGACUUCGUGAAGCUGGAUUCGCUAGUAAUCGUGUAUCAGCAAUGACACGGUGAAUAAGUUCCCGGGCAUUGUACACACCGCCCGUCAAGCCAUGGAAGUUGGGGGUACACUAAAGUCUGUAACCGAAAGGAGCGGCCACUAGGGUAAACCCAAUGACUAGG
rnacentral:rRNA from 1 species